CAGUAGCCGCGGUAAUACAGAGGGUGCGAGCGUUAAUCGGAUUUACUGGGCGUAAAGCGUGCGUAGGCGGCUUCUUAAGUCGGAUGUGAAAUCCUUGAGCUUAACUUAGGAAUUGCAUUCGAUACUGGGAAGCUAGAGUAUGGGAGAGGAUGGUAGAAUUCCAGGUGUAGCGGUGAAAUGCGUAGAGAUCUGGAGGAAUACCGAUGGCGAAGGCAGCCAUCUGGCCUAAUACUGACGCUGAGGUACGAAAGCAUGGGGAGCAAACAGGAUUAGAUACCCCUGUAGUCCCUGUCUCUUAUAC
rnacentral:rRNA from 1 species